rnacentral:rRNA from 1 species
AUACGUAGGUGACAAGCGUUAUCCGGAUUUACUGGGCGUAAAGGGCGUGUAGGCGGUCUUGCAAGUCAGAAGUGAAAUUCCUGAGCUCAACUCGGGCGCUGCUUCUGAAACUGCAGGACUUGAGUGCUGGAGGGGAUAGCGGAAUUCCUAGUGGAGCGGUAAAAUGCGCAGAUAUUAGGAAGAACACCGGUGGCGAAGGCGGCUAUCUGGACAGUAACUGACGCUGAGGCGCGAAAGCGUGGGUAGCAAACAGGAUUAGAUACCCUGUUAGUCCACGCCGUAGACGAUGAAUACUAGGUGUAGGGGGUAUCGACUCCCUCUGUGCCGCAGUUAACACAAUAAGUAUUCCGCCUGGGGAGUACGGCCGCAAGGUUGAAACUCAAAGGAAUUGACGGGG